GAUGAACGCUGGCGGCGUGCUUAACACAUGCAAGUCGAACGGAAAGGCCCUGCUUUUGUGGGGUGCUUGAGUGGCGAACGGGUGAGUAACACGUGAGUAACCCGCCCUUGACUUUGGGAUAACUUCAGGAAACUGGGGCUAAUACCGGAUAGGAGCUCCUGCUGCAUGGUGGGGGUUGGAAAGAUUCGGCGGUUGGGGAUGGACUCGCGGCUUAUGGGCUUGAUAGGGGGGUAGUGGCUGACCAAGGCUGUGACGGGUAGCCCGCCUGGGAGCGGGGACGGGGUCAAGACGCCUACGGUACGCAGCAGUCGCCAACGGGAGGCAGCAGUGGGAAACAUUGCACAGUGGGCGGAAGCCUGAUGCGGCAACGCCCGGUGCGGAAUGACCGCCUUCUGGGUGAGAACCGCUUUCGCCUGUGACGAAGCGAGAGUGACGGUAAUGAGUAAAGAAGCACCGGCUAACUACGUG
rnacentral:rRNA from 1 species